rnacentral:rRNA from 1 species
AGCUGAUCACUGGGCAUAAAGCGUGCGCAGGCGGUUUUGUAAGACAGAGGUGAAAUCCCCGGGCUCAACCUGGGAACUGCCUUUGUGACUGCAAAGCUGGAGUGCGGCAGAGGGGGAUGGAAUUCCGCGUGUAGCAGUGAAAUGCGUAGAUAUGCGGAGGAACACCGAUGGCGAAGGCAAUCCCCCUGGGCCCGCACUGACGCUCAUGCACGAAAGCGUGGGGAGCAAACA